AUACGGAGGGCGCAAGCGUUGUUCGGAAUCAUUGGGCGUAAAGCGCGUGUAGGCGGCUUGGCAAGUCGGGUGUGAAAGCCCGGGGCUCAACCCCGGAAAUGCAUUCGAAACUGCCUGGCUAGAGUUCCGGAGAGGAAGGCAGAAUUCCCGGUGUAGAGGUGAAAUUCGUAGAUAUCGGGAGGAAUACCAGUGGCGAAGGCGGCCUUCUGGACGGCAACUGACGCUGAGACGCGAAAGCGUGGGGAGCAAACAGGAUUAGAUACCCCGGUAGUCC
rnacentral:rRNA from 1 species